rnacentral:misc_RNA from 1 species
UUCCCAGUAGCCACCAACACUGCAAAAAAUUAACAGCGCUAUUAAGCUAAAUUUCAAUUCUUACCAAAAGGGAAAUAAGAUAGAAACAGUCACAAAAUAUAUUUAAACUAUCAGGUUAUGCAGGCCCUUUACAUUUCCAAUGUGCUUGUGGCAUUCAUGAACCAUAAACUGGAUAUGCUCAGUUUUUUCUUCUGGUUUCUCAUUAAAUUAUUACAAAGUGUGCUCAUUAAGACUUACAUUUUUCCCAAUCUAUAUUCCCUUGGUUCCCCCUUUCUGCCUCCUUUUUAAUUAAACCCCAUUUCCAUUUCUCUUUCCUUAAUCUUUUUUUACACGCUUAGGAAGGCUUUAUUGAAGAAGGUUGUUUAAGCAUACAGCUAGCCUUGUUAUAUGGCUCUGUUCAUCAUUUAGCAUGUACACCUUGAAAUGUCAAAUCAUUAUUUCUUCUUUCUCAAGGUUGUUAUUUUAAAUGGCAAUGCUGUUGUGAGGCUAGCAUCCUCAGUGUGGAAAAGCCACAGAAGAAGCAAUGCCAUCAGACCUGGUACAUAAAGUUUGUGGACUGGGAGCCAAAUGAUGGAGUUUUAUCAAACCACCAUCAAAACUUUUAAAUAUUUGAGAAGGUCAAAUGGCUCAAGUGACAUAGAACAAAG